rnacentral:rRNA from 1 species
GAUGAACGCUGGCGGCGUGCUUAAACACAUGCAAGUCGAACGAGCGAGAGAGAGCUUGCUCCCUUGAUCGAGUGGCGAACGGGUGAGUAACGCGUGAGGAACCUGCCUCAAAGAGGGGGACAACAGUUGGAAACGACUGCUAAUACCGCAUAAGCCCACGGCUCGGCAUCGAGCAGAGGGAAAAGGAGCAAUCCGCUUUGAGAUGGCCUCGCGUCCGAUUAGCUAGUUGGUGAGGUAAACGGGCCCCACCAAGGCGACGAUCGGUAGCCGGACUGAGAGGUUGAACGGCCACAUUGGGACUGAGACACGGCCCAGACUCCUACGGGAGGCAGCAGUGGGGAAUAUUGCACAAUGGGGGAAACCCUGAUGCAGCGACGCCGCGUGGAGGAAGAAGGUCUUCGGAUUGUAAACUCCUGUUGUUGAGGAAGAUAAUGACGGUACUCAACAAGGAAGUGACGGCUAACUACGUG